CGCUAGUCGACUUAUAACAAUCUAUCAAAAUGAGAAAAAUUUAUUUCCUCGCAUUCCUUGCUCUUCUUGUCUUCGUUGCCGUAUCGGGACAUGAAGAAAAAACUCUUCCAGAUAUUGAACUUAGAGAAGACAAAACAACGGUUUGCUAUAAUGGAAAUCGUAAAUGCGAAAAAUUCUGUAAGAAACGAGGCAGGAGAGGUGGUAUCUGUGGUUUAGAUUUCGUUUGUAAUUGUUAUUGAAAUUUGACCUAAGAUAAUUAAUAAUUAUAAUAAAUUGACAAAUAUAUGGACCUUAUAAACUUUGGAUAACCAAA